AAGUGAAAGAGAGAAAGAGAAAGCGUCUCUUUCUGCCUCAGUGUUUGGAUAAGCCCGCGACAGGUGCGCGUCCAAUGGGCAGCGGGCUGCUCGUGACGUCAGAACACAGUCAAUGGCGGAGAGAACAACACACAAUUCGAAAACAAUGGAAGUUAGCAGCGAACUGACAGGAUUGUAGAUCUGCACACAGUUUACCGAAUCUGUUGUGUCAACUUCUCUACCCUUGGACUAGAUCUGUGUGUGUGCGUCUCAAGUGAUUGGGAUCGGAUGCUGGGAGGGAAAGUAAGGCAGUCUCCACCUAUGAAUAAACGUGAAAUGUGUGCAAGUCAAAUGUGAGAACAAAAUGCCUCCUGUUUCAAUUUUGAGGAAACGGACUCAAUGAAGAGAUUCCACGGACGUACUGAGGGAUGUGUGUAGUUUGCUACCAGUGAGGAUUUAAAUUCUCUCUGAUUGAAGAUUGAAGAGUGGAUUGUCUGGAUGAUUGCGAUGUCUAGUUUGUGCUGUGGACAGCUGUGCCAAGGCCAUGUCUUCCUAUGAUGAGUUACUGAAACAGGUGGCGUCUCUGAAGUCGGAGAACUGCCAGCUCCGUCGGGAGCUCAAGGACAACUCGAGUCACCUGACCAAACUGGAAAACGACGCAUGCAACAUGAAAGAUGUUCUCUCCCACAUUGAGGUGACAUUUGCGGGGGCGAGCGGUGGGGAUCGCACCGAGGCCGGGGAGGAGAGAGCCGUGGACAGCGAGGAUUAUGGGAAGGAGACGGGAGCCGAAGAUCUGAAUG